UACAGGGGGGGCAAACGUUGCUCGGAAUCAUUGGGCGUAAAGCGCACGUAGGCGGUUCGUUAUGUCGGAUGUGAAAGCCCUUGGCUUAACCGAGGAAGUGCAUCCGAAACUGGCGAGCUAGAGUACUAAAGAGGAUCGCGGAAUUCCCGGUGUAGAGGUGAAAUGCGUAGAUAUCGGGAGGAACACCAGUGGCGAAGGCGAUCACCUGGGGUUGUUCUGACGCUGAGGAGCGAAAGCUAGGGGAGCAAACGGG
rnacentral:rRNA from 1 species